rnacentral:rRNA from 1 species
GUGUCAGCCGCCGCGGUAAUACGUAGGGAGCAAGCGUUGUCCGGAAUCAUUGGGCGUAAAGCGCGCGUAGGUGGCUUCGUAAGUCCGUUGUGAAAGUCAAAGGCUCAACCUUUGAAAGCCGAUGGAUACUGCGGAGCUAGAGUACGGAAGAGGCGAGUGGAAUUCCUGGUGUAGCGGUGGAAUGCGCAGAUAUCAGGAGGAACACCAAUAGCGAAGGCAGCUCGCUGGGACGUUACUGACACUGAGGCGCGAAAGCGUGGGGAGCGAACAGGAUUAGAUACCCUGGUAGUCCACGCCGUAAACGAUGGGUACUAGGUGUGGGAGGUGUCGACUCCUCCCGUGCCGUCGCUAACGCACUAAGUACCCCGCCUGGGGAGUACGGCCGCAAGGCUAAA